UAGAGUUUGAUCCUGGCUCAGGACGAACGCUGGCGGCGUGCCUAAUACAUGCAAGUCGAGCGAAUCGAUGGGAGCUUGCUCCCUGAGAUUAGCGGCGGACGGGUGAGUAACACGUGGGCAACCUGCCUAUAAGACUGGGAUAACUUCGGGAAACCGGAGCUAAUACCGGAUACGUUCUUUUCUCGCAUGAGAGAAGAUGGAAAGACGGUUUACGCUGUCACUUAUAGAUGGGCCCGCGGCGCAUUAGCUAGUUGGUGAGGUAAUGGCUCACCAAGGCGACGAUGCGUAGCCGCCCUGAGAGGGUGAUCGGCCACACUGGGACUGAGACACGGCCCAGACUCCUACGGGAGGCAGCAGUAGGGAAUCUUCCGCAAUGGACGAAAGUCUGACGGAGCAACGCCGCGUGAACGAAGAAGGCCUUCGGGUCGUAAAGUUCUGUUGUUAGGGAAGAACAAGUACCAGAGUAACUGCUGGUACCUUGACGGUACCUAACCAGAAAGCCACGGCUAACUACGUGCCAGCAGCCGCGGUAAUACGUAGGUGGCAAGCGUUGUCCGGAAUUAUUGGGCGUAAAGCGCGCGCAGGUGGUUCCUUAAGUCUGAUGUGAAAGCCCACGGCUCAACCGUGGAGGGUCAUUGGAAACUGGG
rnacentral:rRNA from 1 species